rnacentral:misc_RNA from 1 species
UGUGAUUGAAUGCGACACAAUUGGUAUCAGUGAUCCAUGCCUUGUGGUUCGUGUGGACUGUAAGACUGUGAUGCAAGUGAAACGGCUGCGGUGGAAGUUCCGAGGGAAUCAUACCAUCUUGGUUGAUGGUUUGGCAGUGGAAGUUCUUUGGGAUGUUCAUAAUUGGCUGUUUGGCACGUCUGUUGGAAAUGCUGUUUUUAUGUUCAAGACAUGCCUCUCAGAUGAGAAGUUAUGGUCAAGCCACCAACCACUUACAGAUCCAAAUGUGUUGCCAUGGUCCUUCUCACAGAGAUUUCUGGA